rnacentral:lncRNA from 1 species
UCUCUCUCUCUAGAACCAAACACUCUAACUUCUCUCUAAAAAAAAACCUUUCUCUCCCUCAUUACCCUCCGACGACUAGUAGGGCUUUUUGCCUUUGCCGACGAUGCGACCCAAUUGACCAAAUUUCUCCCUUUCUUUUCUCCGACGUCGGCCUAAUCUCCUUCUCUCUCUCUUGCUUCAACGCCGACGUUCUUCCCUUUCUCUCUCACCGUCGUUCCAGUUUCUCUCUUCUCAUCCCUGCGUCGGUAGCUCCUUCUCUUCCCUGCGACGGCAGCUCCUGC